rnacentral:rRNA from 1 species
UAGGGAAUCUUCCACAAUGGACGCAAGUCUGAUGGAGCAACGCCGCGUGAGUGAAGAAGGUUUUCGGAUCGUAAAGCUCUGUUGUUGGUGAAGAAGGAUAGAGGUAGUAACUGGCCUUUAUUUGACGGUAAUCAACCAGAAAGUCACGGCUAACUACGUGCCAGCAGCCGCGGUAAUACGUAGGUGGCAAGCGUUGUCCGGAUUUAUUGGGCGUAAAGCGAGCGCAGGCGGAAGAAUAAGUCUGAUGUGAAAGCCCCCGGCUUAACCGAGGAACUGCAUCGGAAACUGGUUUGCUUGAGUGCAGUAGAGGAGAGUGGAAUUCCAUGUGUAGCGGUGAAAUGCGUAGAUAUAUGGAAGAACACCAGUGGCGAAGGCGACUCUCUGGUCUGCAACUGACGCUGAGGCUCGAAAGCAUGGGUAGCGAACAGG